UCAGGAAUCUUGGACAAUGGGGGCAACCCUGAUCCAGCCAUGCCGCGUGAGUGAAGAAGGCCUUCGGGUUGUAAAACUCUUUCAGAUGUGAAGAUGAUGACGGUAGCAUCAGAAGAAGCUCCGGCUAAAUUCGUGCCAGCAGCCGCGGUAAUACGAAUGGAGCGAGCGUUGUUCGGAAUCACUGGGCGUAAAGCGUACGUAGGCGGAUAAGCAAGUCAGAAGUGAAAGCCCAGGGCUCAACCCUGGAAUCGCUUUUGAAACUGUUUAUCUAGAGUCCGGAAGAGGUUGGCGGAAUUCCCAGUGUAGAGGUGAAAUUCGCAGAUAUUGGGAGGAACACCAGUGGCGUAGGCGGCCAACUGGACCGGAACUGACGCUGAGGUACGAAAGCGUGGGGAGCAAACA
rnacentral:rRNA from 1 species